rnacentral:lncRNA from 1 species
GGGGGUGCGGGGCGCGGUCCGGGCCGUGGGGCGGCGGGGCGGCGGGGCGGCGGCGGCCUGCGCGGCGGCGGGCGUCCCGGGCGGGCCCCGGGUGCGGUGACAUCACCGCCCGCCUCCCCGCCCGGUGCUGCCUCCGCGAGGCGCGUCGGUUGGGCCGUUUGCCCGCGUCCGCCGCCGCCAGGGCUCGUCCGGCCGGGCUCGGAGCCGGCAGCGCGGAGCGACGGGACCCGGAGGAGGAGCGAGGCGCGGGCGGGCGGCGCGGGCGGGAGCCCCCGGCGGCGGCAUGAGGCUCAGCCCGGCGCACUACCUGCUGCCGCUGCUGCCGGCGCUGGUGCUCGGCGCCAGCGGGCUGGGCCGGCUUCCAGGAGGCGGCGUCCGCGGCGCGGGGCCCGGGGCGGAGGGAAGUUGGAAGCGGACCCUGCGGGAGCGGCGGUGCGGCCCGGCGGGGACCCCGGCUGCGGACCCGGAGACCCUGCGGACCCCCGGCUGCAGACCCAGGGACCCUGCAGACCCCCGGCUGCAGACCCAGGGACCCCGGCUGCAGACCCUGAAGACCCUGCGGACCCCCGGCUGCAGACCCAGGGACCCCGGCCGCGGCCGCCGCGCGGGGUGGGACGCAGCGGGGUUGAGAGUCGGGGCGUGUCCGCGGUUGGUCCGGCCCAGGGUGCGCGACGGCCCCGCCUCGUCCCCCUGCAGAGCGGCACAGAGCGGGUCUGUCCCCCGCCGGGCCGAGCCCGCGCCCCGGGCGCCCGGGCAUCCUCUUGGCAGCCGCCCCCUUCCCUCGGCCGCCCUCGAACAAAACAGCCCUCGCAGCGGGAGUCUCAGUGAAUGGAAACAUUGUGUCGACAUCCGACAUCCGACGGGGGAGGAAGAGGGGAAGCGGGGUCUCCCCCGUCCUGAAAUUGGACCCGAAGAGCGCUCGCUGCCUGCAGAGGAAGGAAGCAGCACAAUUCCUGAUCGCGUCGCUAGUCCGUGCAUGCAUCCUCCUUCACACUCCUCCAACCAGACUUUUCCUUUUCCAGCGAGGACCGUGUGA